rnacentral:rRNA from 1 species
GAGUUUGAUCAUGGCUCAGGAUGAACGCUAGCGGGAGGCUUAACACAUGCAAGCCGAGGGGUAUAGUUAGCUUGCUAACUAGAGACCGGCGCACGGGUGCGUAACGCGUAUGCAACUUGCCCUACUGAAAAGGAUAGCCCUUCGAAAGGAGGAUUAAUACUUUAUAACAGAUUUAAUGGCAUCAUUAGAUUUUGAAAGAUUUAUCGCAGUAGGAUAGGCAUGCGUAAGAUUAGUUAGUUGGUGAGGUAACGGCUCACCAAGACGAUGAUCUUUAGGGGGCCUGAGAGGGUGAACCCCCACACUGGUACUGAGACACGGACCAGACUCCUACGGGAGGCAGCAGUGAGGAAUAUUGGACAAUGGGUGGAAGCCUGAUCCAGCCAUCCCGCGUGUAGGAUGACGGCCUUAUGGGUUGUAAACUACUUUUAUCUGGGGAUAAACCUACUCACGUGUGAGUAGCUGAAGGUACCAGAAGAAUAAGCACCGGCUAACUCCGUGCCAGCAGCCGCGGUAAUACGGAGGGUGCAAGCGUUAUCCGGAUUUAUUGGGUUUAAAGGGUCCGUAGGCGGAUUAAUCAGUCAGUGGUGAAAUCUCAUAGCUUAACUAUGAAACUGCCAUUGAUACUGUUAGUCUUGAGUGAUGUUGAAGUUGCUGGAAUGUGUAGUGUAGCGGUGAAAUGCUUAGAUAUUACGCAGAACACCAAUUGCGAAGGCAGGUGACUAAACAUCAACUGACGCUGAUGGACGAAAGCGUGGGGAGCGAACAGGAUUAGAUACCCUGGUAGUCCACGCCGUAAACGAUGGAUACUUGCUGUUGGAUUUUCGGAUUCAGUGGCUAAGCGAAAGUUAUAAGUAUCCCACCUGGGGAGUACGUUCGCAAGAAUGAAACUCAA